UACGAAGGGGGCUAGCGUUGUUCGGAUUUACUGGGCGUAAAGCGCACGUAGGCGGAUCGUUAAGUUGGGGGGUGAAAUCCUGGAGCUCAACUCCAGAACUGCCUUCAAUACUGGCGAUCUAGAGUCCGGAAGAGGUGAGUGGAACUCCUAGUGUAGAGGUGGAAUUCGUAGAUAUUAGGAAGAACACCAGUGGCGAAGGCGGCUCACUGGCCGGUACUGACGCUGAGGUGCGAAAGCGUGGGGAGCAAACAGGG
rnacentral:rRNA from 1 species